CCCAGCAUGGUGCAGUGGUUGCACAUUGGACUAUGAUGCUGGAGACCAGGGUUCAAUUCCCACCGCAGCCA